GUACACUCCUGCGGGAGGCAGCAGUGGGGAAUAUUGGACAAUGGGCGCAAGCCUGAUCCAGCCAUGCCGCGUGAGUGAUGAAGGCCCUAGGGUUGUAAAGCUCUUUCACCGGUGAAGAUAAUGACGGUAACCGGAGAAGAAGCCCCGGCUAACUUCGUGCCAGCAGCCGCGGUAAUACGAAGGGGGCUAGCGUUGUUCGGAUUUACUGGGCGUAAAGCGCACGUAGGCGGACUAUUAAGCCAGGGGUGAAAUCCCGGGGCUCAACCCCGGAACUGCCUUUGAUACUGGUAGUCUUGAGUUCGAGAGAGGUGAGUGGAAUUCCGAGUGUAGAGGUGAAAUUCGUAGAUAUUCGGAGGAACACCAGUGGCGAAGGCGGCUCACUGGCUCGAUACUGACGCUGAGGUGCGAAAGCGUGGGGAGCAAACAGGAUUAGAUACCCUUGUAGUCCCA
rnacentral:rRNA from 1 species